CCGCGGGGCUGUGUUUACAGCCGCUUGCCUUUGUUUGUAGCGCUCGGAGGGAAACAUCCCCCCCGUUUGCCCUCCCCCGCCGCCCCGCCUAGCUGCCCCGGCUGAUAAACCCGCGGGCCUCGGCCCCGCCGCCGCCACCCCCGAGCUCCGCUUUCGUUUGCGGAAGGCGCACGGUCCCGCGGGCCCCCUCCCCGUCGGGCCGGUCGGUAACUCCUGUCCCUUUUGGAAACGCUGAUUUCCUCAGACCUGGGCUCCUCUCUGGACCCGCUAGGAAGGACCGCUUUUAAUUGCUCGGUAAUGAGGAUGUUGCCAUUUUCUAAGGAGCAGUCAUUCCUGGAGCUAAAUCACAAGAGCCCUAGACAGGCCGGAGCCGACAAAAAUAGAAACGACAGCAACGUGUCCCCCCCGGGCUGCGAGCCUCGGCCCGGCGCCUCCCCGCUGCCCCCGAGGGAGGUGUAACGGGGCCUUUCGGGCCAAGCCGCAGACACCCCUAGAGCAAGCGCCGAGACAUCCGCGGGCGGCUGUAAGGACAUAAACACGGCCAGGAGAUGCCAUUGAGACACCGUGAUCUUGAAAGGGGGGUGAGGGGAAGAGAGGAAGAGGGUUAAUAAUAAAACCCCUAAGCAAAAUACUCUCCUCUUGCGCUUGGAAAUCUAACCUUAAUCCGCCUUUUUUCACACGUACUCGCCCAGCGACUCACAAAUACACCCAGAAGAAACAUCUAUGUAGCGAGGGGAAGGAAACCCGCUCCAUUCUCCUGCGAACACAAUCCCCUCUGCUGUAACGAGGGGCUUAUCAAUGUUUUAUUUAUUUUUAAUUUGGGGUUUGAGUGGGUUUUUUUUUUCUUCGCGCACCAUGAAAUAUCUGCCCCUGCAAACGAGCUCCAAUCUUUUCCAUUUCUAAUUGGCCAAUUACUGUUCAGCUGUUCCAGCUCGCCCCGUACAAUGGAGAUUAAAGCAGAGCUGUUAUCUGAAUUAUACGUUCACAUAAAUUCUAGCGAGGCCGGGCGCUGCGGGGCCCGCGCCUCUCUGGGCAGCCCCCGCGGCCCUCGCCUCCCCUUGCGGGGCAGCGCGGUGUGUGUCUCCCGCUUCCCCAGCCCCCUCACUUUCCUCCAGAAAUGUUGUUGCUCUGAUGAUCCGAUUGUGGAGCAUCGAUUACAAAUUUAUUCUCAGACACUAUAUAAGUCUUUAUAUCUGCUAUUAGAGACAUCUGGGAACGAUUAGAGCCCUCCCUCCCCCGGCUCUGCUCCCUCUAUCUUGCAGCGAGGAGCUGGAGACAUGUUGACGUCAGAUCAGACGGCUCGGAGCCAUCCUGCUCUCGAGCUGGGUGUCAUCGCGGCGGCGCUCUCCAAGCCCCGGCCCGGCACCGGCACCGGCACCGGCCCCGGCCCCGGCCCGCCCGCCGGAAUGCGGCGGCACCGGCUCGCCCCGGCCCCCGCGGCAGCGGUGCUUUUGGCCCCGGAGGCUCCGGCCCCUCCGGAGCCGGCCGCCGCGGUUGCCUGCGCCGUGGUUUGCUUGCAGCCUCGGGAAUAAAGCGGCGCACGGCGCGGACGGCGCCCCGCUCCCCGCUCCCCGCUCCCCGGCCCGGCGCUGGCUUCCUCUGGGCAGCGUUUCUCCCGGUGCCGUCGGUCUGUCUUCCAAAGCAAACACCAAGCCAGGCAGAUUUCCGCCUUGUGUCUUGGCUGGCAGGAAUUAGCGAGGCGAAGCGCAAGGCUUUCGUGCGGGCAGUCGCCGGCCGCCUUCCCUGCGCGCUCGCUCCCGCUCUCCAAAGCGGUAGUCGGUUUUGCAGCGAGCCGGGAGAGCUGGAGGCUCUUGCAGAGCAGGGCGAUUCCCCACCCAAACGGCAGUGCUGCUGGCGGAGAAACGGCUUUGCACCUGCUAUUAAAUCCUAAUGAAUCGCAUCUAAUGAGAGCUGAGGCUGCCUGAUAGUAACGCGGGGCAGCCGGCCCGGCCUAUUAGCCCUGGCUCAGCGGGAUCCGAGUUCAUGUUUGUGAUGUUUAUUUUUAUGUAUUUUUACUUUAUUAUUUGGUACGUUUCAUAACACUCGUUUUUCCCAAAGAGAUAAAAAAAUAGUAAUUCAAUAAAUAAACUUGAGCCUCUGCCGUCUGCUCGCAAAGUCUUGGACGGCUGACACUUGUCCAGCUGUACAUCGCAAUCAGUGCUACUACCAGGAAGGGGGGGGGGUGCGGAUGAGAAAGUGGUUGAUCUUGUCUCCAGAGAAAAGAGAUAAUGUUAGAGUAUUUGUCUGAAGGAUUAGAUUCUCGAAGUAAAAUGCUCUUGCCAGGAGAAAAAAGUACUGUGUGACCCUAAAAAAUGCGCUUCCACUUCUUUGUUGCAGCAAAAUAAAAUAAAAGAAAUCCCCUAAGAUACCGCAGCGCUUCAGUGUGUGUCCAUCUGUAAUCUCGAAAGGAAAAGGAACAUUUCCCUUCCAAAUGAGUAAAAGCGGUGUGCUGUGCGCUUGGCUCCCCACCACAUCCACGAACACUGGGGGCUCGGGCAAGGGCGGGGGAGGGGGGGUAGUAAAGAAAAAAGAAAGCAAAAGUAAAGAAAAAAACCCACGGAACAAACCCGAACCAAAACCUCCCAACAAAUCCCAUCCCAGAGCUGCUCGAGAGGCGAUGGUGCUGGCACC